GACAGGUUGGCCGAGUGGUCCAAGGCGCUGGCUUAAGACGCCAGCCCGAAAGGGCGUGGGUUCGAACCCCACAGCUGUCA
rfam:Perkinsus marinus ATCC 50983 gcontig_1104296724788, whole genome shotgun sequence.